CGUCACACCAUGAGAGUUGGCAAUACCCAACGUACCGUGAUCUAACCCGCAAGGGAGGAAGCGUCCUAAGGUAGGGGUCAGCGAUUGGGGUGAAGUCGUAACAAGGUACC
rnacentral:rRNA from 1 species